AUUGAAACACAAGUUCCCAUAUGAUAACUGAAGUUAAGCAACGUCAGGCAUGGUCAGUACCUAGAUGGGUGAAUGCAUGGGAAUACCAGGUGGUGUAAG